GCGGAGGUCGCCAAGCCUGGCCAACGGCGAAGCGUUCAGGGCGCUUUCCCGUAGGGGUUCGCAGGUUCAAAUCCUGCCCUCCGCA
rnacentral:tRNA from 1 species